GUGAGGAAUUUUCCGCAAUGGGCGAAAGCCUGACGGAGCAAUGCCGCGUGAAGGAUGAAGGCCUAUGGGUUGUAAACUUCUUUUCUCAGAAAAGAAUUAUGACGGUAUCUGAGGAAUAAGCAUCGGCUAACUCUGUGCCAGCAGCCGCGGUAAGACAGAGGAUGCAAGCGUUAUCCGGAAUGAUUGGGCGUAAAGCGUCUGUAGGUUGUUUAAAAAGUAUUCUGUCAAAGAUUAGGGCUUAACCCUAGAUAGGCAGAAUAAACUAUUAAGCUAGAGUUUGGUAGAGGCAGAGGGAAUUCCCGGUGGAGCGGUGAAAUGCGUAGAUAUCGGGAGUAACACCAAAGGCGAAGGCACUCAGCUGGGCCAAUACUAACACUGAGAGACGAAAGCGAGGGGAGCAAAUGGGAUUAGAAACCCUUGUAGUCC
rnacentral:rRNA from 1 species